AGCAGUCGCCACGGUAAUACGAGGGGAGCUAGCGUUGUUCGGAAUUACUGGGCGUAAAGCGCGCGUAGGCGGCUUUUUAAGUCAGAGGUGAAAGCCCGGGGCUCAACCCCGGAAUUGCCUUUGAAACUGGAAAGCUAGAAUCUUGGAGAGGUCAGUGGAAUUCCGAGUGUAGAGGUGAAAUUCGUAGAUAUUCGGAAGAACACCAGUGGCGAAGGCGACUGACUGGACAAGUAUUGACGCUGAGGUGCGAAAGCGUGGGGAGCAAACAGGAUUAGAUACCCCAGUAGUCCCUGUCUCUUAUAA
rnacentral:rRNA from 1 species